rnacentral:rRNA from 1 species
UAGAGUUUGAUCAUGGCUCAGAUUGAACGCUGGCGGCAGGCCUAACACAUGCAAGUCGAACGGUAACAUUUCUAGCUUGCUAGAAGAUGACGAGUGGCGGACGGGUGAGUAAUGCUUGGGAACUUGCCUUUGCGAGGGGGAUAACAGUUGGAAACGACUGCUAAUACCGCAUAAUGUCUUCGGACCAAACGGGGCUUCGGCUCCGGCGCAAAGAGAGGCCCAAGUGAGAUUAGCUAGUUGGUAAGGUAACGGCUUACCAAGGCGACGAUCUCUAGCUGUUCUGAGAGGAAGAUCAGCCACACUGGGACUGAGACACGGCCCAGACUCCUACGGGAGGCAGCAGUGGGGAAUAUUGCACAAUGGGGGAAACCCUGAUGCAGCCAUGCCGCGUGUGUGAAGAAGGCCUUCGGGUUGUAAAGCACUUUCAGUUGUGAGGAAAAGUUAGUAGUUAAUACCUGCUAGCCGUGACGUUAACAACAGAAGAAGCACCGGCUAACUCCGUGCCAGCAGCCGCGGUAAUACGGAGGGUGCGAGCGUUAAUCGGAAUUACUGGGCGUAAAGCGCACGCAGGCGGUUUGUUAAGCUAGAUGUGAAAGCCCCGGGCUCAACCUGGGAUGGUCAUUUAGAACUGGCAGACUAGAGUCUUGGAGAGGGGAGUGGAAUUCCAGGUGUAGCGGUGAAAUGCGUAGAUAUCUGGAGGAACAUCAGUGGCGAAGGCGACUCCCUGGCCAAAGACUGACGCUCAUGUGCGAAAGUGUGGGUAGCGAACAGGAUUAGAUACCCUGGUAGUCCACACCGUAAACGCUGUCUACUAGCUGUGUGUGUCUUUAAGACGUGCG